rnacentral:tRNA from 1 species
GGGCCUGUAGCUCAGCUGGCUAGAGCGCACGACUGAUAAUCGUGAGGUCGAUGGUUCGAGUCCAUUUAGGCCCACCA